AAAUAGAUACCCGGGUAGUCCACGCCGUAAACGAUGGAUACUAGCUGUUUGAGCGCAAGUUUGAGUGGCUAAGCGGAAAGUGAUAAGUAUCCCACCUGGGGAGUACGGGCGCAAGCCUGAAACUCAAAGGAAUUGACGGGGGCCCGCACAAGCGGUGGAGCAUGUGGUUUAAUUCGAUGAUACGCGAGGAACCUUACCAGGGCUUAAAUGUAGAUUGACGUAUUUGGAAACAGAUAUUUCUUCGGACAAUUUACAAGGUGCUGCAUGGUUGUCGUCAGCUCGUGCCGUGAGGUGUCAGGUUAAGUCCUAUAACGAGCGCAACCCCUGUUGUUAGUUGCCAGCGAGUAAUGUCGGGAACUCUAGCAAGACUGCCAGUGUAAACUGUGAGGAAGGUGGGGAUGACGUCAAAUCAUCACGGCCCUCACGUCCUGGGCCACACACGUGCUACAAUGGCCGGUACAGAGAGCAGCCACUUAGCGAUAAGGAGCGAAUCUAUAAAGCCGGUCACAGUUCGGAUCGGAGU
rnacentral:rRNA from 1 species